UGAUUUCUGCCCAGUGCUCUG
rnacentral:siRNA from 1 species